rnacentral:rRNA from 1 species
CAGCAGCCACGGUAAUACGUAGGUGGCAAGCGUUGUCCGGAAUUAUUGGACGUAAAGGGCUCGCAGGCGGUUUCUUAAGUCUGAUGUGAAAGCCCCCGGCUCAACCGGGGAGGGUCAUUGGAAACUGGGAAACUUGAGUGCAGAAGAGGAGAGUGGAAUUCCACGUGUAGCGGUGAAAUGCGUAGAGAUGUGGAGGAACGCCAGUGGCGAAGGCGACUCUCUGGUCUGUAACUGACGCUGAGGAGCGAAAGCGUGGGGAGCGAACAGGAUUAGAUACCCCGGUAGUCCCUGUCUCUUAUAC